rnacentral:rRNA from 1 species
UACGUAGGGUGCGAGCGUUGUCCGGAAUUAUUGGGCGUAAAGAGCUCGUAGGCGGUGUGUCACGUCGGCCGUGAAAACCUGCAGCUUAACUGUGGGCGUGCGGUCGAUACGGGCAUCACUGGAGUUCGGCAGGGGAGACUGGAAUUCCUGGUGUAGCGGUGAAAUGCGCAGAUAUCAGGAGAAACACCGGUGGCGAAGGCGGGUCUCUGGCCGAUACUGACGCUGAGGAGCGAAAGCGUGGGGAGCGAACAGG